rnacentral:rRNA from 1 species
UACAGAGGUCUCAAGCGUUGUUCGGAUUUAUUGGGCGUAAAGGGCGCGUAGGCGGCGGGGUAAGUCGGGUGUGAAAUCUCAGGGCUCAACCCUGAAACUGCACUUGAUACUGCUCUGCUUGAGGACUGGAGAGGAGACUGGAAUUCACGGUGUAGCAGUGAAAUGCGUAGAUAUCGUAAGGAAGACCAGUGGCGAAGGCGGGUCUCUGGACAGUUCCUGACGCUGAGGCACGAAGGUCAGGGGAGCAAACGGGG